CAGCAGCCGCGGGAAUACAGAGGGUGCAAGCGUUAAUCGGAUUUACUGGGCGUAAAGGGCGCGUAGGUGGUUAUUUAAGUGAGAUGUGAAAGCCCCGGGCUUAACCUGGGAACUGCAUCUUAUACUGGGUAACUGGAGUGCAGUAGAGGGUAGUGGAAUUUCCGGUGUAGCGGUGAAAUGCGUAGAGAUGUGGAGGAAUACCGAUGGCGAAGGCAGCCCCCUGGGCCAAUACUGACGCUCAUGCACGAAAGCGUGGGGAGCAAACAGGAUUAGAUACCCCUGUAGUCCCUGUCUCUUAUAC
rnacentral:rRNA from 1 species